CCCGAAUUCACAAAGGAGGUUUGCAUUUAACCCAUGGUUUAAACCUUCAUUUACUUAACCCGUGGUUUAAAAAUUAGCGCAAUAAUAGCGUAUCUUGCCUUGCGCGCGUCUAAUAUUGGACCUCUGACUGUGUUGCACUUAUUUUGUGCUCAUUUUAAACCAUGGGUUAUGUAAAUGAAGGUUUAAACCAUGGGUUAAAUUUAAACCUCCUUUGUGAAUUCAGG
rnacentral:pre_miRNA from 1 species